rnacentral:rRNA from 1 species
AACGUAAGAUGACUGUAGUGAAAGCUUACAUCUCUUCGGAGCAUUUUACGAGGUGCUGCAUGGUUGUCGUCAGCUCGUGCCGUGAGGUGUCGGGUUAAGGUCCCAUAACGAGCGCAACCCCUACCUUUAGUUGCCAUCAGGUUAAGCUGGGGACUCUAAAGGAACUGCCUACGCAAGUAGUGAGGAAGCGGGGAUGACGUCAAAUCAGCACGGCCCUUACGUCCAGGGCUACACACGUGCUACAAUGGCCGAUACAGAGGGCAGCUACCUGGUGACAGGAUGCAAAUCUCCAAAGUCGGUCUCAGUUCGGAUCGGAGUCUGCAACCCGACUCCGUGAAGUUGGAUUCGCUAGUAAUCGCGCAUCAGCCAUGGCGCGGUGAAUACGUUCCCGGGCCUU